GGGGAAAUCUCGAGCGGGGUGGCGCGCAUGAGCGGCGAAGCUCCUCCUCCCCGCCUAUAUAUAAAGGGCUGGCGCGGGGCUCGGUGGCGCCAUUUCGCGCUGGAGUGGAGCAGCCUCUAGGGCGAUGGAGGAUUCUGCCUACCGAUACAGAGCCUUCGAGUCGUGCGGGGCCGCCAUUACAAUCCACCUCCAUCCGCUUGGAAAUGGCCUUCGUCCAGGCCUAUGACUGGUCCCAGCGGACAGUACAGACCCCAUAGAAGCCCCUGAAGCUCCCCUUUUUCGGGCCCCGCGCAAUCCUCGGAGUCUGUCCUCCCCUUCUACUACGCCCUCAAGAGGAUUUCAAAGAUGGAGGCGGCGGCUCCCUAAACCACUUUUCGUGUUCAUCCGCCUCCAUCCGAGAUCGAAACGGGACCUCGUCCGCCCCGUAGGCUCCCGACAAGAAGAGGGGAUCCCUGCAGACCAACAGCGGGCUAUAUUGAUGACGGUGUCUGAGAUCGGGGACCGUUCUUUGAAGAGUCAGUCCCUCAGUCGCCCGCCUCAGCGGAGGCCGCCGCCAUUUUCUUGCUGUCCGCCAUCUGCAGAGCGCGCCAAGCUGCCUGGAGCUCUCCGAGAGGCCCCAAAGGGACUGCUUUCGUGCCGGUCAGGCAGGGGGUUUGUUGCCUGGAGGCCCAAGAGGAACAGUCUCCCCGGUACUUACCGGGUUAUGCUGGACCGGGCGGUGAGGGGAACCGAGGCCACCCGGACUUUCCGCGGCUGAGGGCAGCACCGGUUCCCUGCGGUCAAGAUGCUGCAAAACGUGACCCCUCACAACAAGCUCCCUGGGGAAGGGAAUGCAGGAUUACUGGGGCUGGGCCCAGAAGCAGCGGCACCAGGGAAAAGGAUUCGAAAACCCUCUCUCUUGUAUGAGGGAUUUGAGAGCCCCACAAUGGCAUGGGUGCCUGCUUUGCAACUGACCCCUGCCAACCCACCACCCUCGGAAGUGUCCAAUCCCAAAAAGCCAGGACGAGUUACCAACCAGCUGCAAUACCUACACAAGGUAGUGAUGAAGGCUCUGUGGAAACAUCAGUUCGCAUGGCCAUUCCGGCAGCCUGUGGAUGCUGUCAAACUGGGUCUACCGGAUUAUCACAAAAUGAUAAAACAGCCUAUGGACAUGGGUACUAUUAAGAGGAGACUUGAAAACAAUUAUUAUUGGGCUGCCUCAGAGUGUAUGCAAGAUUUUAAUACCAUGUUCACCAACUGUUAUAUUUACAACAAGCCCACUGAUGAUAUUGUCCUAAUGGCACAAACGCUGGAAAAGAUCUUCCUACAGAAAGUUGCAUCAAUGCCACAAGAAGAGCAAGAACUGGUGGUGACCAUCCCUAAGAACAGCCACAAGAAGGGGGCCAAGUUGGCAGCGCUCCAGGGCAGUGUUACCAGUGCCCAUCAGGUGCCUGCUGUUUCUUCUGUGUCACACACAGCCCUGUAUAUUCCCCCACCUGAGAUACCUACCACUGUCCUCAACAUUCCCCACCCAUCAGUCAUUUCCUCUCCACUUCUCAAGUCCCUGUACUCUGCUGGACCCCCACUCCUUGCUGUUACUGCAGCUCCUCCAGCCCAGCCCCUUGCCAAGAAAAAAGGCGUAAAGCGGAAAGCAGAUACUACCACCCCUACACCUACAGCCAUCCUGGCUCCUGGUUCUCCACCUAGCCCUCCUGGGAGUCUUGAGCCUAAGGCAGCACGGCUUCCCCCUAUGCGUAGAGUGAGUGGUCGCCCCAUCAAGCCCCCACGCAAAGACUUGCCUGACUCUCAGCAACAACACCAUAGCUCUAAGAAAGGAAAGCUUUCAGAACAAUUAAAACAUUGCAAUGGCAUUUUGAAGGAGUUACUCUCUAAGAAGCAUGCUGCCUAUGCUUGGCCUUUCUAUAAACCAGUGGAUGCUUCUACACUUGGCCUGCAUGACUACCAUGACAUCAUUAAGCACCCCAUGGACCUCAGCACUGUCAAGCGGAAGAUGGAGAACCGUGAUUACCGGGAUGCACAGGAGUUUGCUGCUGAUGUACGGCUUAUGUUCUCCAACUGCUAUAAGUACAAUCCCCCAGAUCACGAUGUUGUGGCAAUGGCACGAAAGCUACAGGAUGUAUUUGAGUUCCGUUAUGCCAAGAUGCCAGAUGAACCACUGGAACCAGGGCCUUUACCAGUCUCUACUGCCAUGCCCCCUGGUUUGGCCAAAUCAUCUUCAGAGUCCUCCAGUGAGGAAAGUAGCAGUGAGAGCUCCUCUGAGGAAGAGGAGGAGGAGGAUGAGGAGGACGAGGAGGAAGAAGAAGAGAGUGAAAGCUCAGACUCGGAGGAAGAAAGGGCUCAUCGCUUAGCAGAACUACAGGAACAGCUUCGGGCUGUACACGAACAACUGGCUGCUCUGUCCCAGGGUCCAAUAUCUAAGCCCAAGAGGAAAAGAGAGAAAAAAGAGAAAAAGAAGAAACGGAAGGCAGAGAAGCAUCGAGGCCGAGCUGGGGCCGAUGAAGAUGACAAGGGGCCUCGGGCACCCCACCCACCUCAGCCCAAGAAGUCCAAGAAAGCAAGUGGCAGUGGGGGUGGCAGUGCUGCUUUAGGCCUUUCUGGCUUUGGACCUUCUGGAGGAAGUGGCACCAAGCUCCCCAAAAAGGCCACAAAGACAGCCCCACCUGCCCUGCCUACAGGUUAUGAUUCAGAGGAGGAGGAAGAGAGCAGGCCCAUGAGUUACGAUGAGAAGCGGCAGCUGAGCCUGGACAUCAACAAAUUACCUGGGGAGAAACUGGGCCGAGUUGUGCGUAUAAUCCAAGCCAGGGAGCCCUCUUUACGUGAUUCAAACCCAGAAGAGAUCGAGAUGGAUUUUGAAACACUCAAGCCAUCCACACUUAGAGAGCUUGAGCGCUAUGUCCUUUCCUGCCUGUGUAAGAAACCUCGGAAGCCCUACACCAUUAAGAAGCCUGUGGGAAAGACAAAGGAGGAACUAGCUUUGGAGAAAAAGCGGGAAUUAGAAAAGCGGUUACAAGAUGUCAGCGGACAGCUCAAUUCCACUAAAAAGCCCCCCAAGAAAGUGAGUGAGAAAACAGAGUCAUACUCUGCACAGCAAGUAGCAGUGUCACGCCUUAGCGCUUCCAGCUCCAGCUCAGAUUCCAGCUCCUCUUCAUCGUCGUCCUCUUCAGACACCAGUGAUUCAGACUCAGGCUAAGGGGUCAGGCCAGAUGGGGCAGGAAGGCUCCGCAGGACCGGACCCCUAGACCACCCUGCCCCACCUGCCCCUUCCCCCUUUGCUGUGACACUUCUUCAUCUCACACCGCCCCCCCCCCCCCCCCCGUCCCCCUCUAGGAGAGCUGGCUCUGCAGUGGGGGAGGGAUGCAGGGAGAUUUACUGAAGGAGGGACGUGGACAAAAUAACAUUGAAUUCCUAGCCCCAUUGGGGAGUGACCUCUUGGACACAGAGCCCCCAUUCAAAAUGGGGCAGGGCAAGGGUGGGAAUGUGCAAAGCCCUGAUCUAGAGUUACCUGAGGCCAUAGCUGCCCUAUUCACUUCUAAGGGCCCUGUUUUGAAGUUGUUUGUUCUAAUUUAUUUUAAGCUAGGUAAGGCUGGGGGGAAGGGUGGGGCCAUGGUCCCCUCAGCCUCCACGGGGAGGGAAGAAGGGGGAGCUCUUUUUUUACGUUGACUUUUUUUUUCUACUCUGUUUUCCCUUUUUCCUUCCGCUCCAUUUGGGGCCCUGGGGGUUUCAGUCAUCUCCCCAUUUGGUCCCCUGGACUGUCUUUGUUGAUUCUAACUUGUAAAUAAAGAAAAUAUUAUUCAAAAAAAAA